ACGAACGCUGGCGGCGUGCCUAACACAUGCAAGUCGAACGCGAAAGCCUGGGCAACUGGGCGAGUAGAGUGGCGCACGGGUGGGUAACACGUGGGUAACCUACCCUCGAGUGGGGAAUAACUCCUCGAAAGGGGAGCUAAUACCGCAUAAGACCACGACCUCUUCGGAGGUUGCGAUCAAAGGUGGCCUCAUCAUGCAGAGCGUUUGGGAGCCCUCUUCCAAUGGGGAGGAGGCUUCCCAGCGCUUUGUCCAGUGAAGCUGCCGCUCGAUGAGGGGCCCGCGUCCCAUCAGCUAGUUGGUAGGGUAACGGCCUACCAAGGCGACGACGGGUAGCUGGUCUAAGAGGACGACCAGCCACACGGGAAUUGAGAUACGGUCCCGACUCCUACGGGAGGCAGCAGUGGGGAAUCUUGGGCAAUGGGGGAAACCCUGACCCAGCGACGCCGCGUGGGGGAUGAAGGCCUUCGGGUUGUAAACCCCUGUUAGGUGGGACGAACCUCUCUUCACCAAUAGUGAAGAGAGCUGACGGUACCACCAGAGAAAGCCCCGGCUAACUCCGUGCCAGCAGCCGCGGUAAUACGGAGGGGGCUAGUGUUGUUCGGAAUUACUGGGCGUAAAGGGCGCGCGGGCGGCUUGGCAAGUCGAGUGUGAAAUCCCUUGGCUUAACUGAGGAACGGCGCUCGAAACUACCUCGCUAGAGGGCGGGAGAGGGAAGUGGAACUCUCGGUGUAGGGGUGAAAUCUGUAGAUAUCGAGAGGAACACCGGUGGCGAAGGCGGCUUCCUGGCCCGUACCUGACGCUGAGGCGCGAAAGCGUGGGGAGCAAACAGGAUUAGAUACCCUGGUAGUCCACGCCGUAAACUAUGGAUGCUAGCUGUAAGAAGUAUCGACCCUUCUUGUAGCGAAGCUAACGCGUUAAGCAUCCCGCCUGUGGAGUACGGUCGCAAGACUAAAACAUAAAGGAAUUGACGGGGACCCGCACAAGCGGUGGAGCGUGUUGUUUAAUUCGAUGGUAAGCGAAGAACCUUACCCAGGUUUGACAUCCCGAGAAGGUUUCCGAAAGGAAAUUGUGCCGUAAGGAAUUCGGUGACAGGUGUUGCAUGGCCGUCGUCAGCUCGUGUCGUGAGAUGUUAGGUUAAGUCCUUCAACGAGCGCAACCCUUAUAGUUAGUUGUAUUUUUCUAGCUAGACUGCCCUGGCAACAGGGAGGAAGGAGGGGAUGAUGUCAGGUCAGUAUUACCCUUACACCUGGGGCUACAAACACGCUACAAUGGCCGGUACAAAGGGCAGCCAAGUCGCAAGACGGAGCAAAUCCCAUCAAAACCGGUCCAAGUUCGGAUUGCAGGCUGAAACUCGCCUGCAUGAAGCUGGAAUCGCUAGUAACGGUAGGUCAGCACACUACCGUGAAUACGUU
rnacentral:rRNA from 1 species